rnacentral:misc_RNA from 1 species
GAUCAUUACAAGAACGCCCGGGCUUCGGCCUGGUUAUUCAUAACCCUUUGUUGUCCGACUCUGUUGCCUCCGGGGCGACCCUGCCUUCGGGCGGGGGCUCCGGGUGGACACUUCAAACUCUUGCGUAACUUUGCAGUCUGAGUAAACUUAAUUAAUAAAUUAAAACUUUUAACAACGGAUCUCUUGGUUCUGGCAUCGAUGAAGAACGCAGCGAAAUGCGAUAAGUAAUGUGAAUUGCAGAAUUCAGUGAAUCAUCGAAUCUUUGAACGCACAUUGCGCCCCCUGGUAUUCCGGGGGGCAUGCCUGUUCGAGCGUCAUUUCACCACUCAAGCCUCGCUUGGUAUUGGGCAACGCGGUCCGCCGCGUGCCUCAAAUCGUCCGGCUGGGUCUUCUGUCCCCUAAGCGUUGUGGAAACUAUUCGCUAAAGGGUGUUCGGGAGGCUACGCCGUAAAACAACCCCAUUUCUAAGGUUGACCUCGGAUCAGGUAGGGAUACCCGCUGAACUUAAGCAUAUCAAUA